rnacentral:snoRNA from 12 species
GCAGACUCACUCUGCAUCCGGCUGCACUUCAGAUGGGUGCUUUUUCUGUCUGCCAAAGAAAUAUUCCGGGUGCUGUGGCUGCCUGACUUGUCAGGGGCGAUGCAGCUGCCUGGGGACACAGGG